UACGUAGGGUGCAAGCGUUGUCCGGAAUUAUUGGGCGUAAAGAGCUCGUAGGCGGUUUGUCGCGUCUGCUGUGAAAACCUAAGGCUCAACCUUGGGCUUGCAGUGGGUACGGGCAGACUAGAGUGCGGUAGGGGUGACUGGAAUUCCUGGUGUAGCGGUGGAAUGCGCAGAUAUCAGGAGGAACACCGAUGGCGAAGGCAGGUCACUGGGCCGCAACUGACGCUGAGGAGCGAAAGCGUGGGGAGCAAACAGG
rnacentral:rRNA from 1 species